rnacentral:rRNA from 1 species
AGAGUUUGAUCAUGGCUCAGGAUGAACGCUGGCGGCGUGUCUAAGGCAUGCAAGUCGAAUGUCUGCUUUCGGGCAGACAUGGCAAACGGGAGAGUAACACAUUGAUAACAUACCUCUAACUCGAGCAUAAUUCCGCGAAAGUGGGAAUAAUACUCGAUAAUCAUGGGGGGACAUAAGUCAUUCCCAUGUAAAGUUUUAACGGUUAGAGAGUGGUCUAUGGCCUAUCAGCUUGAAGGUAUGGGUAAAAGCCUACCUUGGCAAUGACGGGUAGCGGGUGUGAGAGCAUGGCCCGCCUCACUGGGACUGAGACACUGCCCAGACUCCUACGGGAGGCUGCAGUCGAGAAUCUUCCACAAUGGCCGAAAGGCUGAUGGAGCGACGCCGCGUGCAUGAAGAAGCUUUUCGGAGUGUAAAGUGCUUUUGUGAAGGAAGAAGUCUGGAGAUCAGAAUUCAGAAGUCUGAUAUUAGAUAUACGAUUUCUGAUAUCCGAUCUCCAGAUUGACGGUACUUCACGAAUAAGGGGCUGCUAAACUCGUGCCAGCAGCAGCGGUAAUACGAGUGCCCCGAGCGUUAUCCGGAUUUAUUGGGCGUAAAGGGUCCGUAGGCGGUUUAUUGCAUCUCCUGUUAAAUCCCGAGGCUCAACCUCGGAAUUGCGGGAGAGAUGGAUAAACUAGAGGCCGGUAGAGGCAAGUGGAAUUGCUGGUGUAGGGGUUAAAUCCGUUAAUAUCAGCAGGAACACCAAAUGCGAAGGCAGCUUGCUAGAACGGUCCUGACGCUAAGGGACGAAAGCGUGGGUAGUGAAUGGGAUUAGAUACCCCAGUAAUCCACGCCGUAAACGAUGGAUGCUAAGCAUUGGCAGUAUCGACCCUGCCAGUGUUGUUCACUUAAGCUAACGCCUUAAGCAUCCCGCCUGGGGAGUACGAGCGCAAGCUUAAAACUCAAAGGAAUAGACGGGGACCCGCACAAGCGGUGGAGCGUGCGGUUUAAUUCGAUUUUAAGCGAGGAACCUCACCAAGACUUGACAUCUAGCUGCAGACCCCGGGAAAUCGGGGAGUCUUAGAGGGUGCUAGACAGGUGCUGCAUGGUUGUCGUCAGCUCGUGUCGUGAGAUGUACCGUUAAUUCGGGAAACGAGCGCAACCCUUGUUUUAUG